GAAUAAACAACUAUUUACACCAUUAAAUAUAUUAAAUAUUCAGAUGUUUUCACUUCCACAUUAAAAGUGCACAUACGCUGUUGAAAGUAGUGAAUUUUGACAAUUUGUAUUUAGUUAGUGUGUUUUCAUGAUGAAAAGUAUCAUUUAUUUAUUUUUUGGAUUUCUUCAAAUCAUUUCAGUGACAUUUUUGGUCACUGGAUCAGUUAUAGAUAUAAAGAUUAUUCCGGAGACGACAUAUAUGCUAGCUCUUGAGGGAGCCGAGUUUAAACUGGAUUGUAUUGUAGAAUUCAAGGACACAACAAAUGUAAAAGUUAACUUUUAUAAAGAUGGCCUUAUGAUUCCAGUGGGUACACAUUAUGGAUACAAUGUAAUUGUAAGUCAGACUUUUU